GAUGAACGCUGGCGGCGUGCCUAAUACAUGCAAGUCGAGCGAACAGAUAAGGAGCUUGCUCCUUUGACGUUAGCGGCGGACGGGUGAGUAACACGUGGGUAACCUACCUAUAAGACUGGAAUAACUCCGGGAAACCGGGGCUAAUGCCGGAUAACAUUUAGAACCGCAUGGUUCUAAAGUGAAAGAUGGUUUUGCUAUCACUUAUAGAUGGACCCGCGCCGUAUUAGCUAGUUGGUAAGGUAACGGCUUACCAAGGCAACGAUACGUAGCCGACCUGAGAGGGUGAUCGGCCACACUGGAACUGAGACACGGUCCAGACUCCUACGGGAGGCAGCAGUAGGGAAUCUUCCGCAAUGGGCGAAAGCCUGACGGAGCAACGCCGCGUGAGUGAUGAAGGUCCUCGGAUCGUAAAACUCUGUUAUUAGGGAAGAACAAAUGUGUAAGUAACUGUGCACGUCUUGACGGUACCUAAUCAGAAAGCCACGGCUAACUACGUG
rnacentral:rRNA from 1 species